UAGAGUUUGAUCCUGGCUCAGGAUGAACGCUAGCUACAGGCUUAACACAUGCAAGUCGAGGGGAAACGGCAUUGAGUGCUUGCACUCUUUGGACGUCGACCGGCGCACGGGUGAGUAACGCGUAUCCAACCUUCCCAUUACUGUGGGAUAACCUGCCGAAAGGCCGACUAAUACCGCAUAGUCUUCGAUGACGGCAUCAGAUUUGAAGUAAAGAUUUAUCGGUAAUGGAUGGGGAUGCGUCUGAUUAGCUUGUUGGCGGGGUAACGGCCCACCAAGGCGACGAUCAGUAGGGGUUCUGAGAGGAAGGUCCCCCACAUUGGAACUGAGACACGGUCCAAACUCCUACGGGAGGCAGCAGUGAGGAAUAUUGGUCAAUGGACGGAAGUCUGAACCAGCCAAGUAGCGUGCAGGAUGACGGCCCUAUGGGUUGUAAACUGCUUUUGUAUGGGGAUAAAGUCAAUCACGUGUGAUUGUUUGCAGGUACCAUACGAAUAAGGACCGGCUAAUUCCGUGCCAGCAGCCGCGGUAAUACGGAAGGUCCAGGCGUUAUCCGGAUUUAUUGGGUUUAAAGGGAGCGUAGGCUGGAUAUUAAGUGUGUUGUGAAAUGUAGACGCUCAACGUCUGACUUGCAGCGCAUACUGGUUUCCUUGAGUACGCACAACGUUGGCGGAAUUCGUCGUGUAGCGGUGAAAUGCUUAGAUAUGACGAAGAACUCCGAUUGCGAAGGCAGCUGACGGGAGCGCAACUGACGCUUAAGCUCGAAGGUGCGGGUAUCAAACAGGAUUAGAUACCCUGGUAGUCCGCACAGU
rnacentral:rRNA from 1 species